AAAGGGACACUCCAGGCUUCCACACACGUUAGGUGCACUGUGUAGGUUAGGUUACAGUUAGUUAUACUGGGUGGGUUUAUAUUAUUAAAGGGACACUCCAGGCUCCCACACACGUUAGGUGCACUGUGUAGGUUAGGUUACAGUUAGUUGUACUGGGUGGGUUUAUAUUAUUAAAGGGACACUCCAGGCUCCCACACACGUUAGGUGCACUGUGUAGGUUAGGUUACAGUUAGUUGUACUGGGUGGGUUUAUAUUAUUAAAGGGACACGCCAGGCUCCCACACACGUUAGGUUACUGUUAGUUAUACUGGGUGGGUUUAUAUUAUUAAAGGGACACUCCAGGCUCCCACACACGUUAGGUGCACUGUGUAGGUUAGGUUACAGUUAGUUAUACUGGGUGGGUUUAUAUUAUUAAAGGGACACUCCAAGCUCCCACACGUUAGGUGCACUGUGUAGGUUAGGUUACAGUUAGUUAUACUUAGUGGGUUUAUAUUAUUAAAGGGACACUCCAAGCUCCCACACGUUAGAUGCACUGUGUUAGGUUACAGUUAGUUAUACUUUGUGGCUUUAUAUUAUUAAAGGGACACUCCAGGCUCUCUCAC